GUUCCUGAGCAGUAGCGGAAUCCACUGAUCAAUCUUCACAUUACAAAAAGUAAGACAAGCAAACUUUAUGGCAGAUGCAAUACAUUAUGAAUCUUUAGAUCUAACUUAGUCUAGAAAAAAUUCAGGGAAUAGAGGCAAAAAUUAAAUGAUGCCAUGAAAAAUUAAUCAGCAAAAUCCAGAAUGGGAGGCAUUCUUCAGGAUAACCACUUGGUUUCUGCAACAAGUCUGUGUGGUAUGUGGAAAAGCACAGUUGUGGGGUGGGGGAGGGAGGCAGUAUCUGUUCUAGUUUAAAAGAUAGUUAAGAGUCACAGCAAUCAAAUAUAGUGAAUGAAUGUUUUUGAAUCCUGAUUCAAACAAUCCAACUGUUAAAAGACAUGUUAGACAAUCAGGAAAACUAAACAGAGAAUAGAUGAUAUUAAGGAAAUCUUGUUAAUUGAGGAACUUAAUUUUGUGAGGUGUGAUAGUGGUCCUGUGGUUUAUAUAAAGAAGAAAAUAUCUUUUAAAAAGAGAACUUGGGGUUCUCGUCAUGGCUCAGUGGUUAAUGAAUCCGACUAGGAACCAUGAGGUUGCAGGUUCAAUCCCUGGCUUCACUCAGUAGGUUAAAGAUCCGGCAUUGCCGUGAGCUGUGGUGUAGGUCAGAUGAGGCUCAGAUCCCACGUUGCUGUGGCUCUGGCGUAGGCCAGUGGCUACAGCUCCGAUUCGACCCUAACCUUGGAACCUCCAUAUGCCACGGGUGUGGCCCUAGAAAAGACAAAAAAUAAUAAUAGUAAUUAAAAAAGAGAGAGAGAGAACUUAAGUAUUUCAGGGUGAAAUAAUACAGAAUCUGAAAUUUACCUUAAGAUAUUCCAGCAGGAAAAAGUUGGAGGAGGAGAUAUGAAACAAGUAUUAAUGGUGGUUAAAUCAGGCUGAUGGUUAUAAGAGCUCAAUGUGCUCUCUACUUUAUGUUUGAAAAUUUUUAUAACAAAACAUAAAUCAUACAAACCAACAAAUAACAAAGAGACAAAAAAAAAAAAAACAACCCACAAGAUGAGCUCCAGAAUUAGACAGUGAAGAGACUGAAUCCUAGCUCCACCAAUUAUUAAUUAUGCAAAUCUGGGCAAAUCAUUUAACUUUAAGCACCGUGCUCCUAUCAAAUGGAGGAAAUAGCACUCGCAUUUACUAAGUUUGAAUGAGAUACUCCAAAUAAAGCAGAAAGAAUGUUUCUAGUACAUUGAAAAAGUCCAAUAAAUGUCAGCCAUUGCUAUCAUUGCUAUUAGUAGCAGCAAUAUUGUAAAAGAUGCAACUGCAAAGACUCUUGAAUAGUUCUUAAUGUAAAGGGCCAAUGUUUCUUUUCAUCAAAAUUCUUAUUUCUUUUUCAAAAACACAUUUAAAUACACAAUACCAAACAUCUAUAAAUAACUAUUUUUCCUUUUCUAUUACUCAGCUUUUGAAAACUAAUAAGCACAAAAAUCAAUAAAACAGCAAAGGUCAAUUGUUUCAAAUUUUAUACUAUUCUUCAAUUAGUAUUCUAUAAUUUGUGGUUCUUUUUUAAUUUAAAUUUUCUCUACAUGAUACAUAAAAGAAAUUAUAUGGCUAAUAGCAAAUCUAAGAAACAUUCAAAGCCAUCUUUUUUUCAACUGAAAGCUGAAAAUAUUUUUCUCAUUUCUAAACAAAAUCACUUAGGUGCUCAUAAUAUAUACGCUUUACAUAAUACCAAAAAAAAUCCCUUUUGUAAAUAAAAAAUUAUACGGAAGUCGACAGAGCUGAGGUAACUGAGAAAUUUUUCCUUUCACUUUUAAUCAGGCUUCCUGUUGUAAGAGCUCAGCAGACAGUGACGCGAGACACUGCCUCCCAACUUCAGUUCACCUUUGCAGUUCCACAAGGGACACCAUGUCAAGAUUGUUCAGCUUUUUUGAUGAGUGCUGCGUGGGUAACUAAUGUGUAAAUGCAGAUACGUAUAGAAAGCAGUUUUGACAGUGAUGUAUUGCAACUGGUUCCAGAUGUCGGUAAGAGAUGCUUGGCCAGGCAUCUGGGGCUCCACUGCCACAGAGCAGUGCCAGGACCAAGCCAAUCUUCAAAAGACCAUGGCACCUUAAUUCUUCAAUUAGAAUCUUCUUAAAACAAUUACUUUUUGCUUCUCUUCUUUCAGAAAAAAAACACUGAAAUAUUUCUAUUUUGUUGUUUUCUUAAAUUUAAAGAAAGGAAGGUUGAAAUAUGGAGCAUCCUAACAGUUUGGCUGAAAGAAAACUUCAAAGCCAACUGCUGAGAUACUCAAAAUUAAGCACAUAUCGAUGUCAUAUAAUGAGAAUUUAACUAAAUUACACUGAAACUUGAAUACGUAUAGAAGUUUAAGCAAGCCCUGGUUAGCAAAGUAAAUGUUGAGUUUGCUCACCUAAUGAUACUAGAAUUCCUAAGAUCAUCAUUAACAUAGCACAUAUAUAACAAUAAUUAUAAAUCAAAUUAUCAAGCUUAUUUCUCUUUUUGCUGUCUAUAAACUUGACAAGUGUAUAUUAGCUAAAGAAAAUUACUGCAUUUGCACUGACUUUAAGAACUAAAUGAUAAAUUCUGUAAUACUGUAUUUUGGGAAUAAAAUCCUAGAAAAGGACUGACAAGCAGCCUGUGAAUAAAUGAAAUUCCUGGUCCACUGGCUAAUAAAGUGCAAUAAGAUGUAUACAAAAAUUCCAAAGUAGAAAGACAUUAUUACAAUCAUGCAAUGAAUAGCCUUUAACCUUUAAAAUUGAUAAAGUUGCACUUUGUACAUGAAAAAUGUUGUAGCACAGCUCCAACAUAAGCAUUUGGUCUAAAGGGAAUUUUUUCAAAUAACCUGUCUGUCUCCCUCCUCUUUCAAUACCAAACUCACUGCUCCAAUCAAAAAAACUCUCAGGGGAUUACCUACAGCUACAUUCUCUCCAUGUGGUUUUGCUAUAAGGCAUUUUCUCAUUGAUCAAGGGAACAGCAGAAAGCAUGCGUUCUGUUUAUCCUGCAACAAAGAAGGUGACUUAUGUUACUGAUUUUCAGUAUCAAAUCAAAGGUUUUAAAAUACUUUUAAUAAAGGCAAACUGGUCUGUCAGAAUGAUGUUUAGAACUCUAUGUUCCUUUUGAUUUCCUAAUAAAUUAAAUAUAUUGAACAUUCUAAAUACGUUACAAAACUUCUAAUCUGUGAGAGAACCUUGUGGUCAAUAACUUCCUGUUAAAAAUAAAUUUUUUAACUACAGCCCAAAGCUGCUUUGUUUGGUCAGAUACAGCUUGAUAUGCUAAUUGAAAGGUCAAGAGUAGUUUUAAAAACUGACCGAUCUUAUUUUUUUAGAUGGAUCAUCAAAUUUAUUUCUAACCUUGCAUUUAAAUGAUCAACCAGUAAAAUUUUAUUACAAGCUUAGAAUACAUUAAAGAAUGGUGCCAGAUAGCAAAGAGCUAU
rnacentral:lncRNA from 1 species